AAUUUUCGGCAAUGGGGGCAACCCUGACCGAGCGACGCCGCGUGAGUGAAGAAGGUCUUCGGAUUGUAAAGCUCUGUUGUAAGGGAAGAACCGUACCAGUAGGGAAUGACUGGUACCUGACGGUACCUUCCCAGCAAGCCACGGCUAACUACGUGCCAGCAGCCGCGGUAAUACGUACGUGGCAAGCGUUAACCGGAAUUAUGGGGCGUAAAGGGAGCGCAGUCGGCUUAUUAAGUCGGAGGUUAACGUUCGGGGCUCCACCCCGUGAUGCCUUAGAAACUGGUAGGCUAGAGUGCAGGAGAGGUGAGUGGAAUUCCAUGUGUAGCGGUAAAAUGCGUAGAUAUAUGGAGGAACACCAGUGGCGAAGGCGGCUCACUGGCCUGUAACUCACGCUGAGGCUCGAAAGCGUGGGGAGCAAAUA
rnacentral:rRNA from 1 species